GAAAUAGGGAAGUUGGAGCCAAUCAGACAUCUGUCACCCCAUUGAUCACCAGGGUUAAUUUGGUUGAUUUGAUUGGCUAGAUGGAUGUCCUCUUCCUUCCUCUUUGUUUCAUGUGCAUCCCUCCCAAAGCUCAUGGUCAGUGGAAGAGGACAACCACCCCAGAUAAAAGGAGUGUACUGAUCUUCAGUCAAGGUUAUACAAAAGUAGUGAUUUCUAACAGUGAUUUUCUUAGAAGCAGGAACCCACUCACAAAGCAAGUACACGAAGGUCAUCUCCU
rnacentral:sRNA from 1 species